rnacentral:rRNA from 1 species
CCUACGGGCGGCAGCAGUGGGGAAUAUUGCGCAAUGGGCGAAAGCCUGACGCAGCGACGCCGCGUGAGGGAUGAAGGUCUUCGGAUCGUUAACCUCUGUCAGCAGGGAAGAACGGUCACUGUGCUAAUCAGCAGUGAAUUGACAGUACCUGCAAAGGAAGCACCGACUAACUCCGUGCCAGCAGCCGCGGGAAUACGGAGGGUGCGAGCGUUAAUCGGAAUUACUGGGCGUAAAGCGCUCGUAGGCGGUAUGUCAAGUCAAGGGUGAAAUCCCCGCGCUCAACGUGGGAACUGCCUUUGAAACUGGCAAACUGGAGUGUGUGAGAGGAUAGUGGAAUGCCAGGUGUAGGAGUGAAAUCCGUAGAUAUCUGGAGGAACAUCAGUGGCGAAGGCGACUAUCUGGCACAUAACUGACGCUGAGGAGCGAAAGCGUGGGUAGCAAACAGGAUUAGAUACCCGAGUAGUC